AAUUUCCGACUAACUAGUUAGUCGGUAACUCUUUUCUAAUAUGAAACGGCACCGUUACACCUUAUCAAAACUCAUCCAGUUAUACGCUUCCCCCAUUCUCCCUCACUGCGUCAAUCAGUUCGUCUCCCUCUCAAUCGACCACCACCGUUCCUGCUCCUCUCUCCUCCGACUGUGCCUCUCUCUCGCACGCUCGCUCCUGCUAGUUACUCUCUCUCUCUCUCUCUCUCUCCAGCCAUUGGCGAUUUCUCCACGCCUCUCUCUCUCUCUCAAUCACCUCCUGGUUUUAUGUGAAUCUAGGGUUCCGAUUGAAGCCAUGGCUAGCUAUCUCGCUGCUUAAAUCCACAACUUGUUGUAGCCGUCUUCAAUUUCACAAUGGUUUAGGUCCAUCUGUAAAUCGUUGGGGCGCCUUACUUCAAUCAUUGUCUUGUUCUCUCGUCGAACAGCCGACGCCGCUCUGCUUCUCCUCAACAACUCCAGGUCCUGAAUUUUCUCGGAGGAGAGGUUAAAUUCACCCCUAAAAUGAAGUUCGUAUCACGAUCCUCUACGGAAUGGGUACGCUGCUAUAGAGUUCUUGAUGACAAUGGUCAGCCAAUUACCAAAUUGCAAUUUUGUUCAGCAGCUGAAGAAAACUAUUUGACACCUUAAAAUUGCACCUUAAAACACCUCUUAAGGCAAUAAGAAUGAACUUGCUACCAAAGAAGGCAAUAAUAGCAGUAGAAAUGAGCACGGAAGAGCCCAAUAGCAGCAGAAAGCUAGUGACACCAUAUGGAAGUUCAUUAGCAGCAACAGUGACAGCCAAAUUUGAGACCAAAGAGUAACAAGAACAACAGCACAACAGCGACAAACCACAACAAAUGAACUUCACACUUAACAACAUACUUUGCAGAAAAGGUAUGAUUGUCACCUUUAUGGUGUGAGUUUCUCCUAUAAGAGCAAGUGUUUUUGGGUAUCAUUGUGGCUACAUGAUGUAGUUAACUUAUCAAGAUUGUUCCUUGGGGAUUUAUUUGUUACUUAAAGCUAGAAUCGUGUAGGUUCAAUUGUUGGCUUCAAAAUGGGAGGAGAUGUACCUUGAGGCUUCAAUCAUAGUAGAAUAUUUGGUGUUUGCUUAUUGACCCUUUUGUAGCUUUGUCAAGUUGACCCUUUUGUAGCUUUGUCAAGUUGACCCUUUCAUUUAAUUAUGUUCUCUCUAUUGGAAUUUGUAGGUAUUUCAUGUUAGUCGUUUAUCUUUCUUCAAUCGUGAAUUGAAACUAUCUUAGGUUGGUUGAUUCAUGUACAAAAUUGUCAGGCGUCAUCGUGAUCAAUGUGCCAAGUUGAAUCUUUACAUCCUUUACGUACUACACUCAUGAAUUAGAUGGCUUUAAAUUUGGCAUUUUUUCCAGGAGUUAAGUACUAGCCUAUACUUAUAAAUUACAAGAAUAUCUCCCCGUCAUGCCUUCAGGCUCGGGCGAUUUCAUGAAUAUGCUUGGGUCAUUGUUUUUUGCAUAGUUAAAUUUGUUGGACAGGGGUUGAAAUAUUGCGCGAAAUAUUGCGCGAGUCCAGUAUUUAUUUGCAUGUGCUGGUCAUUCGAGCCAUGCCUUUAGUCACGGGCAUGCCACUAGGAAGGUGGACUCUCAAUGACUGACAUUAAAAGCCUCUCAGAAGGUGGACUCUCAAUGACUUUGGCAAGGGAAAAGAGGGUCAGUGAUCUUGACUUCUAUUUUAUGUGUUAGAUAUGCAAAGUUUCAAGGUUGGACCUUUUUCUCAUUUGAGUAUGUGUUACUUUGUCAUGCAUCGGUUGGUAAAUAUUGUUUAUCUCCUGAAAUUAAUUGUUUGCUAGCUCCUUAGAAAUCCUAUCGAAAAUUGUGCUAUUUGAACUCUUUUACUAUUUAAGGUGUUCAACGUGACUGUGCAAUUGUAUGUGUUAAUUUUCAGGUAAUGGGCAAAUUAAUCUAUUUCAUUCUGGACAGAGCAAUCACAUUUGGCACUAAGGUGCUUUCCAAGAGCCAAGGGGUUGCUAGGGAGUCAUAUUGGGUGAAUGUAGGAAAGCCACAAUAAUAUCAUAUUAUCGGUUCUAAGGUAUCUAUUUCGAUCGUCUCAGGCGAUGGGACUGGUUUUUUUUCUUGAUGUUCAUAUCUUAGGCGACGGGACCAUUUUUUUUUUUUUUCUGUUGUUCAUGUCUGAGGCGGCGGGACCAUUUUUUUACUUUGUUGUAGUUUGUCUGUGUCUGGCCCAUUUGUAAUUUUGGAUAGUUGCUAUUACGUCGCGUGCAGGGGGAAUUCCUACGAA